UACGUAGGGUGCGAGCGUUAAUCGGAAUUACUGGGCGUAAAGCGUGCGCAGGCGGUUCGCUAAGACAGAUGUGAAAUCCCCGGGCUCAACCUGGGAACUGCGUUUGCGACUGGCGGGCUGGAGUGCGGAAGAGGGAGGUGGAAUUCCACGUGUAGCAGUGAAAUGCGGAGAGAUGUGGAGGAACACCGAUGGCGCAGGCAGCCUCCUGGUCUAGCACUGACGCUCAUGCACGAAAGCGUGGGGAGCAAACAGG
rnacentral:rRNA from 1 species